CUGUAAUGAGCUAUUAUAGCCCUAUUCCAUACAGCCUUAUUCAGGGUAAAACUGUCGUUUACAAUUCAGCACUCUCCCCCACGGAAUACCAAUUCAGCGUGAAAAAUUUAGGUCAGAGUUCAACUUUACCCUUCCAUUUCUUUCUCACGUCUAGACCUUUCUUCAUCCAUUUCUUUCUCACGUGUGGAGCUUUCUUCUUUUCUUCAUUCUUCUUCCCAUUUACUUCCAACCUCUUCCCAAGUUCCAACGAAGGAUUUUUCAAUUAGGGAAGGUCUACCGCUGUGGGACUCAUCGGCGAUCCAUUUCUCGACAAAGAAAACUCAUAAACCCCAAAAAUACAAAACCCCCAAACUUAGAAAAAAAGCUUAAGCUUGAAGAAUUUUGGGAACUUUAAUGGUCGGUGGAUAAGAUCCGGUAAUAGUUGAUAGUAUUUUAGUUUUUUUCCUCCUUUUUGAUCGAAGAAAUUUGGGAACUUAAGCUUAUGGUUUACAUUUUUCUUAUUUUCUAUUUUCACUCCAAUCUAAAAACCGGAACUUUACUUUUAAAAAAUGGAGUUUUUGGAUUUCAAAAAAUGGAGUUUGCAAUUGUCUUCAUAGUCAGAAUAUUUUAGCUUCUUAAAAAAGGUAUAAUUCUUCGAAGGUUGUGCAGAACUUUUGUGGUUUUGAGCAUGGUUCAGUUUUGAUUUACUGUCUAAGGUAACAUGCUGAAAGUUAAUGAUUUGUUAAUGAUUUUCUAAUUUUCUUAGAAGCAAGAAUCGAGAGUUGUUUGAUUGACUUUAUGCAAUUUACCAACAUUACAGUAGUUGGAACUUGGGAUCAAUUUCUUUUUUAAUCUGGUAUUUUAAGUUAUCAUCCAUUCGACGCCUUUUUUGAAUCCUUCAGUAAUCAUUUGUAUAAAUUUUGACAUAUUAAGAAUGAGUAGUAUGGUAUAGUGUGUGGUCUAUGUGAUUGCUAAUCCUCUCUGGAUGUGCCUUUAUCUCUUUCUGUUCUUGUUUUAACAAUUUUUUUUUAGUUUGAAACGUUACCUUUUUUUGCAAUCACUAGUUGGAGUUUGGAAUUCAGUAGUACUGAUAGGGCACAUAUCUGGACAGUUUCACUGGUCACCUCUAUUGCCUUCUACAAAAAGGUGAACGAUCAUGUUAAAGCCUUCACUAUCUUUUUGAAAAUAUUGAAAUAAAAUGUAUUUUUAAGAGGAUGAUAGAACUAAGCAAUGAGUUUGCAGACAUAACUUUUGCUUUAAGAAGGGAUCAUUAUCCAUAAAGUAAAGAGUUUCUCUAAUGCAUCUUUUGGACAUUGCCUUCUUUUUGAAGUAGUCACUGGCAGCUGUUGCUUAUAAAAUCUUUAGAAUUAUAGUUUUUCAUCAAGUACUACAGUAAUAUUCUCAGAUAACCAUACUAUGAGCUAUAACAUCAACUGAUGGUAGGCUUUAGAAUGUCUUGCUUACCGAUUUCUAGAAGUUUAGUUUCUCAUCAAUCUUGCUAUUCUUGUUUAUUGUUGACAUCUGCGCUCUGUUUAGUGUGAUUCACUUUUAGACAUCCAUCCAUUAAGGUUUCUUUUUAUUGAUUUUCUUUAAUGUUGGAUUAUGUAUAUCAUGUAUGUAACCUUAGAAGCAAGAUUUUUAAUAAUACAAAUGCAAAUUUAUGUGGAAA